rnacentral:misc_RNA from 1 species
UCUCCGUAGGUGAACCUGCGGAGGGAUCAUUACUGAGUGAGGGUUUAACCGCCCGACCUCCAACCCUUUGUGAAUCGUACUCGUUGCUUCGGGGGCGACCCGGCCUUCGGGCGUCGGGGCCCCCGGUGGACCACCCAACCCUGCAUCGUUGCGUCUGAGUCGAAAUAUAAAUCAAUCAAAACUUUCAACAACGGAUCUCUUGGUUCUGGCAUCGAUGAAGAACGCAGC